rnacentral:rRNA from 1 species
CACGUAGGGUGCGAGCGUUGUCCGGAAUUAUUGGGCGUAAAGAGCUCGUAGGCGGUGUGUCGCGUCGGCCGUGAAAACCUGCAGCUUAACUGUGGGCGUGCGGUCGAUACGGGCAUCACUGGAGUUCGGCAGGGGAGACUGGAAUUCCUGGUGUAGCGGUGAAGUGCGCAGAUAUCAGGAGGAACACCGGUGGCGGAGGCGGGUCUCUGGGCCGAUACUGACGCUGAGGAGCGAAAGCGUGGGGAGCGAACAGG